GGGACUCUACGGAGGCAGCAGUAGGGAAUCUUCCGCAAUGGACGAAAGUCUGACGGAGCAACGCCGCGUGAGUAUUGAAGGCUUUCGGGUCGUAAAACUCUGUUGUUAGGGAAGAACAAGUACAAGAGUAACUGCUUGUCUUGAGGUACCUAGCCGGACACCACGCCC
rnacentral:rRNA from 1 species